UACGGAGGGGGGCGAGCGUUAUUCGGAAUUAUUGGGCGUAAAGGGCGCGUAGGCGGCUGUACAAGUCAAAGGUGAAAUCCCCUCGGCUCAACUGAGGAACUGCCUUUGAAACUGUACGGCUUGAGGCCGGGAGGGGGUAGCGGAAUUCCCAGUGUAGCGGUGAAAUGCGUAGAUACUGGGGAGGAACACCAGUGGCGAAGGCGGCUACCUGGACCGGUUCUGACGCUGAGGCGCGAAAGCGUGGGUAGCAAACAGG
rnacentral:rRNA from 1 species